AACGAACGCUGGCGGCAGGCCUAACACAUGCAAGUCGAACGCCCCGCAAGGGGAGUGGCAGACGGGUGAGUAACACGUGGGAACGUGCCCUAAGGUUCGGAAUAUUCUCGGGAAACUGAGAGCAAUACCGAAUGUGUCCGAGAGGAGAAAGAUUUAUCGCCUUAGGAUCGGCCCGCGUUGGAUUAGCUAGUUGGUGGGGUAAAAGCCUACCAAGGCGACGAUCCAUAGCUGGUCUGAGAGGACGACCAGCCACACUGGGACUGAGACACGGCCCAGACUCCUACGGGAGGCAGCAGUGGGGAAUCUUGGACAAUGGGCGCAAGCCUGAUCCAGCCAUGCCGCGUGAGUGAUGAAGGCCCUAGGGUUGUAAAACUCUUUCGCCGAGGACGAUAAUGACGGUACUCGGAGAAGAAGCUCCGGCUAACUUCGUGCCAUCAGCCGCCGUAA
rnacentral:rRNA from 1 species